rnacentral:rRNA from 1 species
CCGAGAUGAGUUCUCCCUGAGACUUUGAGUCUCCUGAAGGAACGUUGAAGACGACGACGUUGAUAGGUCGGGUGUGUAAGCGUAGCGAUACGUUGAGCUAACCGAUACUAAUGAACCGUGAGGCUUAACCUU